UGGCGCCCACGCUAGGACUCGAACCUAGGACCCUCUGAUUAACAGUCAGAUGCUCUAACCAACUGAGCUACGUAGGC
rnacentral:tRNA from 1 species